AUGUAGAAUUUGUAUCGAACACUUCGCCUUUGAGUAUUUCGUCUCCUAUAACUAAUCCGGACAGUGUAGAAUGGGAUUUGCUGACAUUGCAAUUACCUCGUGCAUAUGCCGCUAUUCGACGAAGCCACUUUGACGACAUGUCGAAUUUUUAAUGUUUCAAUGAAACACUCACAAUUAACUUAGUGAAUUGUACAUAAAAUUGCAGGUUAUAAGCUGCAUAAAUAAACAAAAGUUAGAUGGUAGUAGAA